rnacentral:rRNA from 1 species
UUUGUUGGUUCUAGGACCGUCGUAAUGAUUAAUAGGGAUGGUCGGGGGCAUCAGUAUUCAGUAGUAAGAGGUGAAAUUCUUGGAUUUACUGAAGACUAACUGCUGCGAAAGCGUUUGCCAAGGACAUCUUCAUUAAUCAAGAACGAAAGUUAGGGGAUCGAAGACGCUUAGAUACCGUCGUAGUCUUAACCGUAAACUAUGCCGACUCUGAAUCGGCCCCUUGAAUUUGAUGGGGGGUCGGCGCAGUGUGAGAAAUCAAAGUUUUUAGGUUCUGGGGGGAGUAUGGUCGCAAGGCUGAAACUUAAAGGAAUUGACGGAAGGGCACCACCAGGAGUGGAGCCUGCGGCUUAAUUUGACUCAACACGGGGAAACUCACCAGGUCCAGACUUCUGUAGGAUUGACGCAUUGGCGAUGCUUCAUGAUUAGAAGGGUGGUGGUGCAUGGCCGUUCUUAGUUCGUGACGUAAGUUGUCUGCCUUAUCGCGAUAACGAGCGAGACCUCGGCCGCUAGUUGCUGAAACCCACAUUUUGUGAGUCUUCGGCUCUUAGCGGGACUACCGGAGACAAUUCGGGGGAGGUUCGAGGCAAUAACAGGUCUGUGAUGCCCUUAGACGUUCUGGGCCGCACGCGCGCUACACUGACGCAGCCAGCGAGUUUUGGCCUUUUCCGAAAGGAAUGGGUAAUCUUGUUAAACUGCGUCGUGCUGGGGAUAGAGCUUUGCAAUUUUUGCUCUUGAACGAGGA